rnacentral:rRNA from 1 species
CCUACGGGUGGCAGCAGUGGGGAAUAUUUCACAAUGGGGGAAACCCUGAUGCAGCGACGCCGCGUGAAGGAAGGAGUAUUUCGGUAUGUAAACUUCUAUCAGCAUGGAAGCAAAUGACGGUGCCUGACUAAGAAGCCCCGGCUAACUACGUGCCAGCAGCCGCGGUAAUACGGAGGGGGCAAGCGUUAUCCGGAUUUACUGGGUGUAAAGGGAGCGUAGGCGGUUUAGUAAGUCAGAAGUGAAAGCCCGGGGCUCAACCCCGGGACUGCUUUUGAAACUGUUGAACUAGAUUGCAGGAGAGGUAAGUGGAAUUCCUGGUGUAGCGGUGAAAUGCGUAGAUAUCAGGAGGAACACCAGUGGCGAAGGCGGCUUACUGGACUGUAAAUGACGCUGAGGCUCGAAGGCGAGGGGAGCAAACAGGAUUAGAUACCCUAGUAGUC